rnacentral:rRNA from 1 species
AGUGAACGCUGGCGGUAGGCCUAACACAUGCAAGUCGAACGGCAGCACAGUAAGAGCUUGCUCUUACGGGUGGCGAGUGGCGGACGGGUGAGGAAUACAUCGGAAUCUACUUUUUCGUGGGGGAUAACGUAGGGAAACUUACGCUAAUACCGCAUACUACCUACGGGUGAAAGCAGGGGAUCUUCGGACCCUGCGCGAUUGAAUGAGCCGAUGUCGGAUUAGCUAGUUGGCGGGGUAAAGGCCCACCAAGGCGACGAUCCGUAGCUGGUCUGAGAGGAUGAUCAGCCACACUGGAACUGAGACACGGUCCAGACUCCUACGGGAGGCAGCAGUGGGGAAUAUUGGACAAUGGGCGCAAGCCUGAUCCAGCCAUACCGCGUGGGUGAAGAAGGCCUUCGGGUUGUAAAGCCCUUUUGUUGGGAAAGAAAAGCAGCAGGUUAAUACCCCGCUGUUCUGACGGUACCCAAAGAAUAAGCACCGGCUAACUUCGUG